rnacentral:lncRNA from 1 species
GAGCGAGGCAGAUGCGCAGGUGCGCGGACCAGGUGUGUGAGCCUCCAGCAUCGCCUCCUCUGGGAUCUUCUCUGACUUCCCAGUCGGUUUCAGAAGCCUCUGAUGACCCCAUGCGGAGAAGACUGCUCCCCUCACUGCUGGCACACGGCAGAUGCUCAACACUUGCUCCAGCUUCGCCUUCCGCCGCGAGUUGAAGCUCCCCGAGGCCUCCUCAGAAGCAGAAGCCACCACGCUUCCUGUACAGCCUGUGGGACCCGGAGCCAGUUCAACCUCUUUUCUUUAUAAAUUACCCAGACUCGGCCGGGCACGGUGGCUCACGCCUGUAAUCCCAGCACUUUGUUGAGACCGAGGCAGGCAGAUCACGAGGUCAGGAGAUCGAGAACAUCCUGGCUAACACGGUGAAACCCCGUCUCUACUAAAAAUACAAAAAAUUAGCCGGGCGUGGUGGCGGGCGCCUGUGGUCCCAGCUACUCGGGAGGCUGAGGCAGGAGAAUGGUGUGAACCCGGG